rnacentral:lncRNA from 1 species
GGAGUGGAGAAGCCUGGCUGGUACGUACAUCAGUCUUUUGAUGAUCACUGGGGGCAUCUGGGGCUCUGUCCCACUGGAGACCUGUGGAAGACUGUGUGGAACACUCCUCAGGAGCAAGGAAAACUGAGUAGAGACCAAGGUUUCCCUGUGUGACCCAGGCUGGUCUCCAACUCCUGAGCUCAAGCAGUCCUUUCACCUUGGCUUCCUGAAGUGCUGGGAUUACACGCAUGAGCCACCAGGUUUGGCCUUAAACAAUGUAUUAAAUGCUACAGCAUUUGCUGAUACAACCAGUUGGAAAAAUGCAAUGGUUAAUCCAUUGGUGAGAGAACAUCUGAAGUGGCACUUUGCUAUCUUCUAAAGACAGAGUCUUGCUGUGUCGCCAGCCAGAGUGCAAUGGCACGAUCUCGGUUCACCACAACCUCCGUCCCUUGGGUUCAAGCGAUUCUCCUGCCUCAGCCUCCUGAGUAGCUGGGACUACAGGUGCUCACCACGCCCAGCUAAUUUUUGUAUUUUUAGUAGAGACGGGGUUUCACCAUGUUGGCCAGUAUGGUCUCAAUCUCUUGACCUUGUGAUCCACCCACCUCAGCCCUCCAAAGUGCUGGGAUUACAGGCGUGAGCCACCGCUCCGGGCCAAGACUCUAAUCUUUCUAUAGUGUUUGCUUAACCUAAUUCAUGAUAAUUUAUUUCUGCGAUUUCCAUGUUUUCUUUUUUAAUUGCUACUUUAUUUUACUGAGGGUUUUCCCUGCAUUUUAUCUGAGAGAAUACUUGUGGCCUGUCUUUAAGAAACAGCUUUGAAGUAGAUUUACCAGGUGACUUAAUGGUAAUCCCUGUCUUAGGAAUAAUAUGAUGUAUAUUGUUAAAAUUAACAGUAUAUUCAUUUUAACCUCAAACCUGGGAUAGCCGAAGGACUAAAAUUUCUCUUUGGAGAUAUAUACGUGUAAAACAUAGAGCCUAGACAGAGACAGACAAACUUCCUUGCUAUCUUCCUGUGAUGCUGGGCAAUUUAAAAAUUUAAUCAUCUAUCAAAUGUGUAGACUUUUGAGGGCCCCUGUUCUGCUCCAUUCUCUCAGUUCCCGUUCUUUGUCAUGCAUAGGUUGCAUAGGCCAUGCAUGUCCUCUGUCUCAUCUUGUAAAUACAACCUGAGUUUUGAAAAUACCGGGAGGAAAAGUACAUCGCCUCAGGUUCCACUCACAUGCUUACCCUUUGGUUUUUGGUUUCCAUCUUAUUUCUGGUACCUACAGGUUUCCUUUUCUUUGUUGAAAACGUAGCUAUGCAUUUAAAAUGUUUUGUUAUAUGUUACCAGCCCAUUUUGUUAUAUGCUAACCAUGUUACAUGUUACAUUUAGUUAUUUACACUUUUAGAGUUUCUAGUUAUCUUAAUCAGCCAUCCUGCUAAAAAUUGAAGUUGCAUUUUAUAUAUCUUUAAGAAUCAUUUGGAAAGAUAAUUUAUCUUUUUAAUGGGAAUAACAAUGACUAGCAAGCUUAUUUUGAUAAAAUUAGAUGCUGUUUUGUAUACUGCUAAAAUAUAAUAUUUUUAAAAUGUGCACCACAUAAAAUGUGUGACUGUAUAUUUGUGAUGGCUUUUAAUUUGUAGACUUCUUCCUAAAUUUAAUAAAUCGAUUAAAAAUGUGACUUAAUGUAAAGUAAAACUAAAAAUGUCACAAGAGUAUAUGGAGACAAGAUAUACUAGAAGAAUACAGCUUUGUGGACAAUUUGGGGAAAAUAUGACAGGAUUUUUUUCUCAAUGUGUAUGACUUAAAUCGUACCCUAGCUAAAAAGUGAGGUGUACAGGUAGUUGGAUAAAGUGCUGCCAGCCUGCAACAACGCUGACAUAGUAGUCACAUUUCAUUGUAGCCUCAUAAACAUUUACGAUGCUUCUAAUAUAUGUCAGGCACUUUUCUCAGACCAGGGCCUUCCAAAAUACCAUGAUUGUUCUUAAAGAUCUUACUUACUUACUGGAGAACCCAGUGUGAGAACAGCAUAUAAAAAAUGCAAAUCCAUAGUGACGAUGCAGUACUAAUAGCACGUAGAAGGGAUGGACGCAAGAUAGGGAAGGUAAGAGCUCACUGAGGAGAUUGCACCCUAGCAAGAGCUUUAAAGAUAAUUAAGGUUUUGA